GUUCAUGUUGACUCAAAGGCUCCGUUCAGAUGCAGGUGAAUGUGUCCAUAUGUGACCUGGAUCUGAUCUGUUCCAGACAGUCUGAACAGCACUGAUCUGACCCAGACUACUUUCAUAUGUGGUCCUAAAUCUGACCCGGACCACUUCAAUAUGUGGUCCUA